rnacentral:tRNA from 1 species
UAUAUUUUAGUGUAAGAUGCACGACAAUUUUUGAAAUUGUAAGAUGUAGUUUAAUUCUAUAAAAUAUAA